rnacentral:rRNA from 1 species
CCUACGGGGUGCAGCAGUGGGGAAUAUUGCGCAAUGGGCGAAAGCCUGACGCAGCGACGCCGCGUGAGGGAUGAAGGUCUUCGGAUCGUAAACCUCUGUCAGCAGGGAAGAACGGUCACUUUGCUAAUCAGCAGUGAAUUGACGGUACCUGCAAAGGAAGCACCGGCUAACUCCGUGCCAGCAGCCGCGGUAAUACGGAGGGUGCGAGCGUUAAUCGGAAUUACUGGGCGUAAGGGGCUCGUAGGCGGUAUGUCAAGUCAAGGGUGAAAUCCCCGCGCUCAACGUGGGAACUGCCUUUGAAACUGGCAAACUGGAGUGUGUGAGAGGAUAGUGGAAUUCCAGGUGUAGGAGUGAAAGCCGUAGAUAUCUGGAGGAACAUCAGUGGCGAAGGCGACUAUCUGGCACAUAACUGACGCUGAGGAGCGAAAGCGUGGGUAGCAAACAGGAUUAGAUACCCCUGUAGUC